CUACGAAGGUGUUGGAACCUUACCAGGUCUUGUGUGUUUCACCAGUUAUUGUAAAGGGUUUCUGAGCGUCUCAAUCGCUCAAACAGCUUUCAUAUUAUCAAGCAGGUAGACAGAAUAAUGACAGUACCAUGCAGCAGGCUUCAAACAAGUUGGUAGAACAAUCCGUAUGGCUCCUAAUGUAACCCCUGUCCUAUCGUCUGGGCGACUGGUUCACCAUCAGAAGCAUUGACCUACUGCACAAGCACAUUUUUAAAGAGCUGUGACGGAUAGACCAGGAGAAAUGGUGCCAGAGAUGGAGUCUCUGGAAGACGUGGAGCGUUGCAGCUGACCUGUGUCCACCAUCACCAAGGACAACGUUGUUGCCGUGCGGGCCAUAGUUGAGGUGGAUGCCAGGGUGACCAUGGCCCAGUAGUUAGAGAAGGAGAUACACAACUCAUCAGGAUCUACUCUGUCCACAAUACGCACAACUGUAUUUACAAUUGGUUACUAGUGCCGGAUUAACAACUGGGUGGUGGUUGCCCCAGAGCCCCACAUACACGGGGGUCCUCCCAACAUUGCACACGUUCAGAGUCAGAGACGUCAGCUAAUAAUCAAGCUGCAAUGCUGUCACAGUAGAGCAGCUGGAAGGAGCCAUCAGGAUCAUAGAGCACAGAGUGCAUAGUAAUGAAUGGAUGGUGCCCAUCUGUAAAUGAGCCCCAAUAUACUCUAAUGUUUAACUGUGGAGCAGUCAUUUUCAAAAGCACCAAAGGAUAGUGUAAAAAUGUUGUCAGGAUCAGUGGUCUCCUCUCUGCAAACAGGGUGCUGUUCUUGGCUCCUGCAUUAUCAUUUUAUGGCACCUAGACGUUUGACUCCUAACUCCUGUGCUUGACAUCAGUGCUAAUAAUUGGAUAUCCAUCACCAGAACUUGGAGUGUACCUGACCUGCAUCUGUCUUUGCCCAUAAUAUUUGGAUAUCUGUUACCAGACCUUGAUUGUAUUUAACCUGCUACCUGUCUGAGAUCUCACACAAGCAAUUCAAUGAGUUACCAUUCAAACCAGGUUGGAGGAGAUACAUUGAAUUCCUGUACAACUACUCUUUGCAGCAGCUGGACCUGAACCUGUAGCUGCUGCUAAAGAACCAAGGGGCAGAUGUAUUAAGCCUGGACAAGUGAUAAAG